rnacentral:rRNA from 1 species
UCUCUCUGAAUCUGCGAACGGCUCCGCAUACCAGUUGUAAACCAUAGCGAGCAAACCGUGGCGGUGUCGCAAGGCGUCGUCGCGGUUAAUAAGGAUAACCCUGGUAAUUCUGAGGCUAAUACAAGAACGUACAACCCACCCGACCCGUAAGGGAAGGGGGGGGAAUGUGUGACCAGGCACGCAAAUUCGAAACUGGGAGUGGCCACACGUUCAGACCGUCAUAUCAAACAGUCGUCUGCUUCGAAAGUCCUUGUGACGAGUAACGGCGGGCUUCUGGGCGGCUCUCGCUGUGUGCUUCUGACCUAUCAACUAGAUGGCAGCGUAACGGACAUGCUAUGGUGACAACGGGUACAGAGGAUAAGGGUUCGAUCCUGGAGAGUGGGCCUGAGAGAUU